rnacentral:lncRNA from 1 species
UCCUUCAGUACCUCUAGGGUUUACUAAUUGGCUCCUAAUUCAGAUUAAAGAAACAUUUGCGAGGGAGAACAAAUAGGAAUAUGGUAUCAGAGAUGGCGAGAAGGAAGCUGCCCUUCUGUCUUUUUAUAAAAAAAGGAAGAAAUGCUUGGUCUAUGGGAAAGCUCGACAUAUCUACAAUCACACUUGCUUGGAGAAAGGAGUUAAGUGUUAUGCCUUUUUGAAUGAAGAGGAAGAUCUAAGGCUACACUCCUCAGAGAAACAAGAUAUCAGUGAGACCUCCAAGGAAGGAGAUGCCAAGUAGUGCUUCAAAGCUUCGGACCACAAUCAAACACAGCAUCCUUUUCAACAGAAGCAGAAGCUCAUCUGAAUAUGCUCAAGGAUACUGACAUCAACAUUUAAUCAUCUCCUCACUCAUCCCGGAAGAAGGGGAGAUCAGUUACUACUAUACAUUAUUGUGUUCAACCAAAUCACCAUGUUACAAAAAUAGCAAGCU